CAAUAGCGUAUAUUAAAGUUGUUGCGGUUAAAAAGCUCGUAGUUGGAUUUCUGCUUAGGACAGCCGGUCCGCACUACGUGCGUGUAUCUGGUUUGGCCUGGGCAUCCUAUCCGAAGGGGAUACUGUGCUUGAUUGCAUGGUUUUCAGUCGGGUACUUUUACUUUGAGGAAAUUAGAGUGUUCACGGCAGGCAAUCGCCCUGAAUAUAUUAGCAUGGAAUAAUAAUAUAGGAUCUGAUGCCUAUUUUGUUGGUUUCUAGGUGUUAGAUAAUGAUUAAUAGGGACAAUUGGGGGCAUUCGUAUUAUGGCGUCAGAGGUGGAAUUCUUGGAUUGCCAUACGACGAACUACCGCGAAAGCAUUUGCCAAGGAUGUUUUCAUUGA
rnacentral:rRNA from 1 species